rnacentral:rRNA from 1 species
UACGUAGGCAGCGAGCGUUGUUCGGAGUUACUGGGCGUAAAGGGUGUGUAGGCGGUCCUCUAAGUUUGGUGUGAAAUCUCCCGGCUUAACCGGGAGGGUGCGCCGAAAACUGGAGGGCUAGAGUGCGGGAUGGGAGAGUAGAAUUCCUGGUGUAGCGGUGAAAUGCGUAGAUAUCAGGAGGAAUACCGGUGGUGUAGACGGCUCUCUGGACCGCGACUGACGCUGAGACACGAAAGCGUGGGUAGCAAACAGG